AGAAAGAAAACACGGCAGCCGGCCACAGUGCUAGUCGGCUGCGGAAACCUCCAACCACCUUCACACCUCCCAUGAACAAACCUGGCGUUCGCAACAGGUAAGCGACAAGACAGGUCUUUUGACAUAAACUGGACAUGCUUGUGACGGACGGGCAUACGUUAGAACAAGUACCGAAAGAGUUGCGCCUAAAGCACAGUGGACUCAGUUCACAAGAGCGCUGCACCACUGAUGACGCAGUCAGUGGCGAGCCGGUGCAAAUUCUUCGGAUAGAGGCGGCGAGACCAUCGUGUUUGAUGAACGUGCACUCGAAAGCAUCCUCCUCGCUGACCACGUGAAAGACCGUUCAGUGGUGGUUAUAUCCAUUGCUGGUGCAUACCGACAGGGGAAAUCUUUCCUGCUCAAUUUUUUACUGACUCACCUCAGGCACAAUGGACGAUCCAAAUGGAUCGAAGAAACGGAUACCCCACUCAGAGGCUUCCAGUGGCGGCCGGGCAGUACUCGCGAGACAGCGGGCAUUCUACUUUGGAACGAAGUCUUUUUGAUGACCAACUCAGACUGGAGAGAAGGUAGGCGGUUUUACUGAUGGACACUCAAGGAACCUUCGAUUGCGAGUCGACAAUGAAAGAGAGCACCGUGAUAUUCUCUCUCUCCUUGAUGGCCAGCUCUGUGCAAAUUUACAACAUAAUGAGCAACAUCAAAGAGAAUGACCUUCAACACCUUCAGUUUUUUGCUGAGUACGGCCGACUUGCGCAAGAGGACAACAAAACACAGGCCUUCCAAAAGCUUCUGUUUUUGGUGAGGGACUGGAACUGGGCGCAUGAGUUCGAGUGUGGUUUCCAAGGGGGCCGAUCACUCAUGACGAGUCGUCUAAAGACAACAAGUGGUCAAGCGGCAGAGCUGAAGACGUUGCGACAGAUAUCUUGUCUUCCUUUUCGGACCUUGACUGUUUCCUCAUGCCCCACCCCGGAAAGAAGGUAGCAAUGGAUAAGUCGUUCGAUGGUCGUCUUGCAGACACCGAGGAAGAAUUUCGAAAGAAGCUUCCGGAACUUGUUCUUUCUAUUUUGGCACCAGAAAAUUUGUUGGUCAAAAAGAUUAAUGGGCGAAAAAUAUCGUGCCAGGACUUUGUGACCUUCUUUAAGGCUCAUGUGGAUGUCUUCAAAGGAGGUCAUUUGCCGAAUCCAACAUCCAUGCUGACGGCGACUGCAAAUGCACUGAACAUGGCGGCCAAACUCAAAGCCUCAACUCAUUACAUGUCUGGGAUGACAAGUAGACCUCUCAGAGACCUGAAUGCACUGGGCUUCCUUCAUCGUGAAAUGCUGACCAGGGCCAAGAAGGUGUUCGAUGAGUUCCCGAAGGUCGGUGGUGAAGCGAUGUCGUUAACAUACAAGGAUGAUCUCAUAAAGGCAAGAUCUUUGAUAUGGCAUUUUAUGUAUUUUCCUAAAUGAUCGGCAUGUGCAAUUAGAGAAAGCUUGCUUGCUAACUAAAAGCAAUGACCGAGAGACUAUGAAAUAAUACUAAAAGGAAAAGUACCACGAUUAGGUAUGGUACAUCUCUCCCAAAUAUCUGUCCAAACCUUAGGUGAACAAAAAUUGUGUAGUUCACUAAGACUCACGCAUGAAAUUUAUUUCGUACUUCAGGCACAGUUCACUCAGACUCAAACUCAUGGCCCGGUCUGAGUUUCAGUGAGUCCAAGUGAGUCAACUCUAGAGCUCAUCAGCCUAGACGUAGCUUGGGCCACCUAGCUGUUAAUGCUCUUUAACACCGACAUCUCGCGUAAUCGGUGCUCGUUUUUGGUGACUUUUAGGUAGUACUUUUGAAAGAC
rnacentral:misc_RNA from 1 species